ACCAUAAGUUCACAGCCAUCCUCCUCCUCUUUGUCCAGCCGAAGACAACCACCAUCAAGGAGUUGGAAAUCGGUCCUUGGAGAGGAGAUAAAUCCCCUGCAUGGGACUGCAGGCGUAAGCCUUGGAGAGAAGAAGAGGUGUGCUAUCCUCAAAAUUGUGUGGGCUGAUUGGUGAUGUUUUGAUAAAAGAAUGUUAAAGACUUGAGGAGGACGAAAGAGCAUAUGAGGACAUGGAUUAUUUGGAUAUUUACUGUUAAUUGCUGCUGUUAGGACUUGCUGCUAUUUUGUCUGUUGGAUGACUGUACUAUUGUUAUGUUGAAAACCUUAGACUACUGUUGGAACUAUGAUUUCAUUGUUGUUGUGAGACUUUUAUGAUUAUCUAGUACUUUGGAAAAAUUCUGAAAACGUUUUGCGAAAAUAAUUUCUGAAUGUUUUGCUAAGUGCUAAUUUAUAAACAGUUUUGCGAGCACUUUGCGAGUUAUGUUACGAGGGGCAAA